UGGUUUAAUUCGAUGCAACGCGAAAACCUUACCCACCUUUGACAUGUACGGAACCUUUAGAGAUAGAGGGGUGCUCGAAGGAGAGCCGUAACACAGGUGCUGCAUGGCUGUCGUCAGCUCGUGUCGUGAGAUGUUGGGUUAAGUCCCGCAACGAGCGCAACCCUUGUCAUUAGUUGCUACAUUCAGUUGGGCACUCUAAUGAGACUGCCGGUGACAAACCGGAGGAAGGUGGGGAUGACGUCAAGUCCUCAUGGCCCUUAUGGGUAGGGCUUCACACGUAAUACAAUGGUCGGUACAGAGGGUUGCCAACCCGCGAGGGGGAGCCAAUCCCAGAAAACCGAUCGUAGUCCGGAUUGCAGUCUGCAACUCGACUGCAUGAAGUCGGAAUCGCUAGUAAUCGCGGAUCAGCAUGUCGCGGUGAAUACGUUCCCGGGCCUU
rnacentral:rRNA from 1 species